UCCGUGGCGAGGGUGGCGAACAUGGUGCUUGAUAUCGUUUAUAUCAAUGCUGUGAACAUGGAGGUAUGAUACCGUAUGAUGGGUAUGAUGAGCAUGAUGAGUAUGAUACAGUAGUCGUAUUGUCGUACGAAGUGGUCGAUGUUUAUAUGCCGUGAAGGAAAUUAUGGAUAGGAAAAAGGACAUCGGAAAGUUGCCAGCCCUAAUUGCCAGCAUAAAGAUUGAACCAGGAACUUUAGGAGCAGCCCCAGGACGUCUUCCAUCAUUUGGUGGGCGUCGAGACCUCACUCUUGGAUCAUGUGGCCCAAGCAGAAUAAACCACAAUACUGAAUCAAAGCCCAAAAGAAUAUAUGCACCAAACCUCAAUGUUCAGAGAAACAAAAAUAAAGUGUAUGCAUCAGUCUUUAUUUUGUAAGAAUGUGUAAAUCUGAAUGUUUUGUAGUAUUGGUAAUUGAGUUUAUAAUCAAAAUAGCAUAUAACUUAAUUAUUAAACUGGAAGUUUUGUCAUGUAA